CAGAAGUGAGUCAGUAAAGGUCUGACUGCGCCUGUUGUGAUGGUACACUUCUCACAAUAUGGUUCUAAAAAUGCUGUCAUUAGUGAUCAUCUUGAAUCUCGUACUCCACACCUGUCUGAGUGAGAUGGACAUCCUGCACCCGUCUCAGCCCUGCACUGAAGCAAAAAACAAGAAUGGUCACAACACUUUUCUUAAGCGGCACGUACGCAACGACACACCAACUGAUCUGAAAGUAGAGAACUGGAAGAAGUUCAUUAACAAAAUCGGCACCUGGGACAGGCCAGUUCAGUCAUUCUUUCCCUUCAGUGAAAAAAACAAUGUGACAGCUGUGUGUUCAUCAGGAGGAAAGAUGUAUAAGGGCAACCUCUGCAUCAGCAAGAAGUCUCUUUCCUUCAUCACUGUUAACAUUGACCGUAAGAAUAAAAUAGUCAAAAGUGUCAAACGUCAGAAACAGCAUGUUAUUCUUGCCUGUGAUAAAUUUAAAAACAAAUGUCUCCCUGAUCAUUUUCAGGUGAAUACAAAAAAAAUUAAACCAAAUAAUAACAAACCAGACUGCAGUAAACUAAAGCUCAAGUCUAUUUAUGAGGAGUAGGCUAAGUGUUUUUCCGACUCUAAUGUAUUGUAACUCUGACCUUUUUCUGUCGGUUGAUGAAAUUGUUGAUGAAAAAAUAAAGAAAUGUCAUAUAUAAAAACAA